rnacentral:rRNA from 1 species
UACGUAGGGGGCUAGCGUUGUCCGGAAUCAUUGGGCGUAAAGCGCGCGUAGGCGGCCCGGUAAGUCCGCUGUGAAAGUCAAAGGCUCAACCUUUGAAUGUCAGCGGAUACUGCCGGGCUAGAGUCCGGAAGAGGCGAGUGGAAUUCCUGGUGUAGCGGUGGAAUGCGCAGAUAUCAGGAGGAACACCAACGGCGAAGGCAGCUCACUGGGACGGUACUGACGCUGAGGCACGAAAGCGUGGGGAGCAAACAGG